UACGUAGGGGGCAAGCGUUGUCCGGAUUUACUGGGCGUAAAGAGCGUGUAGGCGGCCAAGCAGGUCCGUUGUGAAAACUGGAGGCUUAACCUCCAGACGUCGACGGAAACCGCGUGGCUAGAGUCCGGAAGAGGAGAGUGGAAUUCCUGGUGUAGCGGUGAAAUGCGUAGAUAUCUGGAGGAACACCGGUGGCGAAGGCGGCAUUCUGGACCGG
rnacentral:rRNA from 1 species